UGAGGGUAGAAAGAGAAAAUGAGUAGUGAUCCUGUUUUCAGUUAGAAAGGUUUCAAAACCAUCUUUAAAAAGUUAAAUCCAAGUCUUCAAGUUUUAUUCAUGCUCUUGAAAAAUAGCAGAUACCAUUACAUGUGCUUAUUUAUUUCACAUUUAAGAUCCAAGUGGAGAAAUCGGAUUAUAGUUUCCUUGUCUGCCGUAAACUAUGUGGAUGGUUUCGUUUCAGACGGUUAUAGGGUGAGUUCUGAAUGCUUCUCAGUUUAACUUUUAUCCCCAUUUUCUCCUCUGUGUAACUCGGUGUGAAAGUCCGGGGGAUGGAGAUCCGUAUCCGAUUUGUGGCAGGGCCCACAAGGAGAGAGGAGUACCCCAUGCAGGCGAAUCGCCUCGUUUUGUCUGCAGAGCCAAGAGAGGCUGAAGUUGGCUGCAGGACAGUUUUCAGCGUCCGAGGAUGGGGUGGCCGGUCAGGCAGACCUGCCCCGCAGGAUGUUCCCGGGAGCAAGCAGUGAGCCCGCCCGCCCCCACGCUCCCUGCCCGGGCGCCCAGCGUGGAGGCUCCCCUGGUCUCCCCACACGGCCGGGGCCUCGCCCCAGCCCCAGCGCAGCCCCUCACCAGCUCCCAGAAACCGGUGAGAAGCAGCCCAUAGCUUGUUACCUGUUUAUCCGAAGGACAGAUCGGUGCUCAAGAAAGGUGGCGACACGGAGGCCCAGAGUGAGGAAGUCAUGUAUUCAAGGUGGCAGAGCUGGGAUUUGUAUAUCAUCUCUGUACCUGAGCCCCUAACCUGCAAGUCAUAAUAGGCAACGGAUCAAUGUUAUGAUGCAGUGGAGGCCCUUACCAGAAGCCAACCAGAUGCCAGCACCAUGCUCUUGGAUUUCCCAGUCUCCAGAAUGGUGCAGGUGGAGACGGAACCCUAGACACUGCUCAUCCCAAUCAGGCCCUUUCCAGGCCUGUCCCAUUCCAAUCGGGCAUCAGAUGUGGCAUUGAUCAUCAUCUACUUAACAAACGAGGCUCCCCUUUCAAUGCACUUGGGUCUCCUCUGGGCCAACCUUGGUUCUGAGAUAGCAGGUGCUGAAAUACUGCUGAAUCCUCAAAGCCAGACUAGCCAGUGCCUGGCACCUGAUGGGAAUAUGAUUUCAACGAACAGCUCACAGAAUCCUCCCCACAAAGCCGAGAAGCAGGAAGCAGCAACCCUCCCAGAUGAAGAAGCGAAGGCUCGGAAAAGCUAAGUAACUUCUCCAAGCUGACGCAGCUCGUGAGAGGAGGGACUGGGAUUCAAAUCCCUGCAGGGGGAGACCAGCAGCCCCGACUUCAGCCGCCAUGCCUCCUGCCUGAGAAGCUAGCUGCGAAGGUUCCAGAAGGAGACUGCCCUCCGGGAACAGAAACAGCGCAUGACUGCGACCUGUCUGCAAAAAUCUUGAUCACUUGUAAAUCCUUCUCCACCUGAUAAGUUAUCACAUUGGCUCAUGAUGUUUUUUUUCAUUCUCACCCUAUGGCGUGGAUGCUGUUACUACCCCAUUUUACAAAGGAGUAAAGUGAGGCCCAGAGAGAACAGUUAAAUCACUUCCCCAGCUUCACUCAACUCAUCUACGGUGAGUCGACGGUACACAUGCCCUUCCACAACACAAAGGUCUCCACUUUGCCACGUGUCACUCUGAUGGUUCCAGGUGCAGAUUUUGCGUCUGCUUCUUGACUUCUAAUGGCUGCACCAUUUUGCAUUGGAUGGUUAUACCAUCAUUUAUUUGACUCAUCUCCUGUGCACAAGCAUCUAGUUUAUCUGCAAACUUUUGCUACCAAAAACAAUGCUGCAAUGAAUAAAUAAGCUGAUGCCUGCUUCUAAGCGUGCGUGCAUGCUGUAAUGUGAGAUGAAUUCCCAGAAGUGGAGUGGCUGAGUCCAAGAGUAAAUGCAUUUUUCAUUUUGAUAGUAUCGCCAAAUGUCUUUCCAAAGGGGUUGUGCUGGAUCCCACUCCAGCUAGCAAUGUGUGAGAGCACCAAUCCCACCGCCCACUGCAGCACACAUAUUGACGUCGGCUAGUCCAAUACCAGCACAGGCAGCUGGGC
rnacentral:lncRNA from 1 species